UGGGGGAUAUUGCACAAUGGGGGAAACCCGUGAUGCAGCGACGCCGCGUGGGUGAAGAAGCGCCUCGGCGCGUAAGCCCUGUCAGCAGGAAGAAAUGACGGUACCUG
rnacentral:rRNA from 1 species